rnacentral:rRNA from 1 species
GACGAACGCUGGCGGCGUGCUUAACACAUGCAAGUCGAACGGAAAGGCCCUGCUUUUGUGGGGUGCUCGAGUGGCGAACGGGUGAGUAACACGUGAGUAACCUGCCCUUGACUUUGGGAUAACUUCAGGAAACUGGGGCUAAUACCGGAUAGGAGCUCCUGCUGCAUGGUGGGGGUUGGAAAGUUUCGGCGGUUGGGGAUGGACUCGCGGCUUAUCAGCUUGUUGGUGGGGUAGUGGCUUACCAAGGCUUUGACGGGUAGCCGGCCUGAGAGGGUGACCGGCCACAUGGGGACGGAGAUAGGGCCCAGACUCCUACGGGGGGCAGGAGGGGGGAAUAUUGAACAAGGGGCGGGAGCCGGAGGGAGCAACCCCGGGUGGGGGAGGGAGGCCGUCGGGUUGGAAACCGCUUUCGCCUGUGAGGAAGGGUAAGGAAAGGAAAUGGGGAAAGAAACACCGGCAAAUUACGG